rnacentral:rRNA from 1 species
AACGAACGCUGGCGGCAUGCCUAACACAUGCAAGUCGAACGAGAUCUUCGGGUCUAGUGGCGCACGGGUGCGUAACGCGUGGGAAUCUGCCCUUUGGUUCGGAAUAACAGUUGGAAACGACUGCUAAUACCGGAUGAUGACGAAAGUCCAAAGAUUUAUCGCCAGAGGAUGAGCCCGCGUAGGAUUAGCUAGUUGGUGUGGUAAAGGCGCACCAAGGCGACGAUCCUUAGCGGGUCUGAGAGGAUGAUCAGCCACACUGGGACUGAGACACGGCCCAGACUCCUACGGGAGGCAGCAGUGGGGAAUAUUGGACAAUGGGCGAAAGCCUGAUCCAGCAAUGCCGCGUGAGUGAUGAAGGCCUUAGGGUUGUAAAGCUCUUUCGGGUGGGACGAUGAUGACGGUACCACCAGAAGAAGCCCCGGCUAACUUCGUGCCAGCCGCCGCCGUAA